rnacentral:rRNA from 1 species
GUCUACGGCCAUGCCAACCCUGAACAAGUCCGAUCCCAUCUAAUCUCAGAAGCUAAGCAGGGUUGGGCCUGGUUAGUACUUAGAUGAGAGACCACCCAGGUGCUAUAAGUU